CCUACGGGAGGCAGCAGUGGGGAAUAUUGGGCAAUGGGCGCAAGCCUGACGCAGCAACGCCGCGUGAAUGAAGAAGGCUUUCGGGUUGUAAACUUCUUUUCUCGGGGACGAACAACUUACGGUACCCCCGUAAUCACCCACGGCUAACUACGUGCAAGCAGCCGCGGUAAUACGUAGGGGGCAAGCGUUAUCCGGAUUUACUGGGCGUAAAGGGCGUGUAGGAGGGAAUGCAAGUCAGAUGUGAAACCUACGGGCUCAACCCAGAGACUGCAUCUGAAACUGUAUUUCUUGAGUGAUGGAGAGGCAAUUGGAAUUCCGUGUGUAGCGGUGAAAUGCGUAGAUAUCAGGAGGAACACCAGUGGCGAAGGCGGAUUGCUGGACAGUAACUGACGCUGAGGCGCGAAAGCGUGGGGAGCAAACAGGAUUAGAUACCCUUGUAGUC
rnacentral:rRNA from 1 species